rnacentral:rRNA from 1 species
UACGUAGGGGGCAAGCGUUUGUCCGGAAUCAUUGGGCGUAAAGCGCGUGUAGGCGGCUUGGUAAGUCUGCUCUGAAAGCCCGGGGCUCAACCCCGGGAGGCGGGUGGAUACUGUCAAGCUCGAGUCCGGAAGAGGAGUGUGGAAUUCCUGGUGUAGCGGUGAAAUUCGUAGAUAUUCGGAAGAACACCAGUGGCGAAGGCGACACACUGGCCCGUUACUGACGCUGAGGCUCGAAAGCGUGGGGAGCAAACAGG